rnacentral:lncRNA from 1 species
GGCGGGCACAGGGUUUCUGAAGAGGUAGACCGGUGGGCGGUUUCGUCGGGUGUCUACCUCCAGGGGUCGUUCGUGAGCCAGAGAAACCCGGACUUAGGAAGGAAGGGGCCUGGCCACACCCCUUCCGCUCUUGGCUGUGCAGUGCCCUGGUUCCCGGCGCGUUCUCUGUCGUGAGCCAAGCAAGGAAGAACAGCCUGAGCUCUUUGAAGACUCCUUAGUCCAAAGCCUCUGGUGGCCAAUGGUCUGCAUCUUUCCCAUGUGCUCCUGAGGUACAAAAUGGACAUUUCAGCUGCUUUUAAUAGAAACUCACUAUGUCACUCGUAAAACUCAGGAAGCUGUCCCAAAUCCUGGGAGGACAUGAAAAGAGGCUCACUCUGCAGUCGAGUGCAGGGUUAUGUAUGCUAGAGGAAGAAGAAUGCCCUUUCCAGAGCCAGUUCUUGGGGAAAAGAGGAACUGUUGAUAUAGCCAGAGCCUGAAAAGAAGAUAACUCUGCAACAGCUAAAGGUUGGUGACAUACUUUUUCUUCAACUUAGUGAAAGCUCUCUAUGUUUGCUUUCUUUCCCUUGAAUUCCAUUAGUGUAUUUUCUCUCAAUGACCCUUGGAACAAACAGAUAGGAAAGAUUUUAAAUCAAUAGAAUAAGCUUCAUGGAGACCAAGAGUUUAUCUAUUAUUGAUUCCCCAGCAUCUAGCAUAGUGCCUGACAUGUUGAUGCUCAAUAAAUAAUUGAUGAAGAAAGAAAAGAAAGACA